rnacentral:tRNA from 1 species
UUAUAAAAUAAUAGUUUAAUUUUACAAUGAAAGUGUAAUGUUUUUAUUUAAACUAUAUAAAU